GGAGUCUGGGCUGUGUCUCAGUCCCAAUGUGGCCGUUCACCCUCUCAGGCCGGCUACCGAUCGUCGCCUUGGUGGGCCUCUACCCCCCCAACUAGCUAAUCGGACGCGGGCCCAUCGGAAAGCGGAUAAAAUCCUUUAAUACAAGAAGCAUGCGCCUCUCAUACAACAUUCGGUAUUAGCACCCCUUUCGGGAUGUUGUCCCCAUCUUUCCGGCAGGUUGCCCACGCGUUACUCACCCGUUUGCCACUAGGCUCAUAAAAGCAAGCUUUCAAUCGCCCCGUUCGACUUGCAUGUGUUAAGCACGCCGCCAGCGUUCGUCCUCGAGCCACGGAUCAAACUACU
rnacentral:rRNA from 1 species